AUUGAACGCUGGCGGCAGGCCUAACACAUGCAAGUCGAGCGGAUGAAGGGAGCUUGCUCCUGGAUUCAGCGGCGGACGGGUGAGUAAUGCCUAGGAAUCUGCCUGGCAGUGGGGGAUAACGUCCGGAAACGGGUGCUAAUACCGCAUACGUCCCGAGGGAGAAAGUGGGGGAUCUUCGGACCUCACGCUAUCAGAUGAGCCUAGGUCGGAUUAGCUAGUUGGUGGGGUAAAGGCCUACCAAGGCGACGAUCCGUAACUGGUCUGAGAGGAUGAUCAGUCACACUGGAACUGAGACACGGUCCAGACUCCUACGGGAGGCAGCAGUGGGGAAUAUUGGACAAUGGGCGAAAGCCUGAUCCAGCCAUGCCGCGUGUGUGAAGAAGGUCUUCGGAUUGUAAAGCACUUUAAGUUGGGAGGAAGGGCAGUAAGUUAAUACCUUGCUGUUUUGACGUUACCAACAGAAUAAGCACCGGCUAACUUCGUG
rnacentral:rRNA from 1 species